rnacentral:rRNA from 1 species
AUGAAUUACCUGGAUGGGGGAGAGAUCGGAGGACAUGAACUGUUGGACCGUGUCCCUCCUGUCCUCGAGCGACUUGCAGACCUUGGCGUCCUGGAGGCACCCCCUGAUCCUGUUCCAGUUCCUGUCGUUCUCCACCCGCCUCUGCAGCCAGGUGGAGUAGUCCCCGAGCCGGUACUCCUUGAACCCGCGGCCGGAGACGGCCUCGCCGGUGCCCUUGUGCGUGACGACGAAGGCGAAGACGGUGAUGCCGAGGAGGACGACGAUGAGCAGGAACAUGGCGACGAGGUAGAACCAGAGGAGGCAUGUCACGCGGCAGCAGGCGCCGACAAGCCCCGCGAUGGAGACGAGCAUGAGGAAGACCCCCAGGACGAUGACCGGCGCCGCCAGGUACCGCUCGCACUCGGUGCCGUCGGCGCGCGCGCGCAGCCAGAUGCCCCCCGCCAGGAUCGGCACCGAGAGGAGGAAGGUGAUGGCGUUCAGGAUCCCGAUCAUGGUGUUGCUCAGCCGCACCAUCUUGGCCGGGCGCCGGCGUCGGCGUGCGGUUUCUUGGACGGGGGCGGGUGGCGGUUGGCGGUUGGCGCGGCGGUUUUCGAAAGGUUUUUGGGGAAGGGGGCGUGGCGCACGGUGUGGUCUGGGAAUUGUGUGACGAUGUGGGAUGGUGGUGGGCGCGUAUUUGUAGAGGGGGUGUGUGCGCGUGGAUUGGAUUGGGCCGGGUUGGGGUGGGCGGGAGGAAAGUUCUUGGGCUUUUCCUUUUUCGUGUGUGAGCGGAAAGGGGCGUGGCGGUUGCUGAUGGAUGGAUCGUUCGCUGGGCACGGAAACUAUUGA